CAUGUACUCCCUCCGUCCGAAAAUACUUGUCAUCAAAAUGAAUAAAAGAGGAUGAUGACAAGUAUUUCCGGAUGGAGGGAGUAUUUG
rnacentral:pre_miRNA from 1 species